AUUGAACGCUGGCGGCAAGCCUUACACAUGCAAGUCGAACGGUAACAGGUCUUCGGAUGCUGACGAGUGGCGAACGGGUGAGUAAUACAUCGGAACGUGCCUAGUAGUGGGGGAUAACUACUCGAAAGAGUGGCUAAUACCGCAUGAGAUCUACGGAUGAAAGCAGGGGAUCGCAAGACCUUGUGCUACUAGAGCGGCCGGUGGCAGAUUAGGUAGUUGGUGGGAUAAAAGCUUACCAAGCCGACGAUCUGUAGCUGGUCUGAGAGGACGAUCAGCCACACUGGGACUGAGACACGGCCCAGACUCCUACGGGAGGCAGCAGUGGGGAAUUUUGGACAAUGGGCGCAAGCCUGAUCCAGCAAUGCCGCGUGCAGGAUGAAGGCCUUCGGGUUGUAAACUGCUUUUGUACGGAACGAAAAGCCCUGGGUUAAUACCCUGGGGUCAUGACGGUACCGUAAGAAUAAGCACCGGCUAACUACGUGCCAGCAGCCGCCGUAA
rnacentral:rRNA from 1 species